CGGCGAGCGGGGAGACUGGCGCUGGGCGGGCCGAGAGGCUCGUCGCGCCUGCGCGAAGGCCCCGGGGAGCAGCGUCGUUACUUUCCAAAGGAGUGGCGGGAACCGUUGGAGGCUGUGCGGUCGCCGUCUGGUCUGCCGGGCAGCAGCGCGCUCCCUCGUCCCUAGGCCUGGCCAUGGCGCCGCAGCUCUCCCGCGAGCAAGGCAUCACCCUGCGCUGGAGGCGGAAAUCGUGGCCGAGUUCUUCUCAUUUGGCAUCAACAGCAUUUUAUAUCAGCGUGGCAUAUAUCCAUCUGAAACCUCUACCAGAGUGCAGAAAUACGGACUCACCUUGCUUAUAACAACAGAUCCUGCGCUCAUAAAAUAAUCAUGUAGUGGAACAAGUGAAAGAUUGGUUAUACAAGUGUUCAGUUCAGAAACUGGUGGUAUUCAUCUCAAAUAUUGAAAGCGGUGAAGUCCUUGAAAGGUGGCAGUUUGAUAAUGAGUGCGACAAGACUACAAAAGAUGACAGUAGCACACCCAGAGAAAAGUCUCAGAAGGCCAUCCAGGAUGAGAUCCGCUCUGUAAUCCGACAGAUCACAGCUACCAUGACGUUUCUGCUACUGUUGGAAGUCUCUUGUAGAGGAAUGGAAACAUGUUCCGACUGGGCCUAUCAGGGUCUGAAAUAGAGCCCCAGAAGGGACUGAACCACAUGUCUCCAGGAUUCUUCUCCCAGUGUCAUCAAUUGGAGAGAGGAGUCAAGCCUCCAUGGGAAUUCACACAGAGAAACUAGGCAACAGGAGAAGGUGCCAUGCUCCAGCGGCAGGGACUCAGCCAGAAAGACUGGAAUACUACAUGACUCUGGAAGCAAGUUGGGGAAGAAGAACUCAACACUAUUUGAGUAUCGAGUUGCAAUUAUUUUUUUAAAAACUUUUUCAAAAUAAGCUUUCAUUAAAUGUUUUAUAUACAUAGUAUUUUGCUGUAUAAUAGCAGCAUGCAUUUUCUUCCAUCAACGUUUUCUUCUCUCAUUCUUUCACUUGUUUUUGUAUCUACAUGCUGUGUUGGAAUUUGGGCUUCUUUACGGGUUGGAACCAGUUUGAGAAAGAGGGGAGACAGAAGGCGAUUGAGAUAUAUGUUAUCAUCCAAAUUAUAGAGUUUCCUAGUAAAGCUGGGUAGAGGCUUAGACCUCAUGCAAAAACAGGGUUUGCUACUGCAUCUCCAUAAACAAGCCAUGGGAUGGCCAGACAACUGCAGUUGUCCUCAUUCAAGCCCACUCCAAUAGGGGACCAAGAAGCUCUUUAAAUACAAAAGCACUUUACACAGGUUCUAUAGGUCUUAAAAAGGUCUGUUCUACAUUGCUUGGGAUGGUGUGAGAAAGUGAAGACAGCGACCCCAAAUAUCUUCUCCAACACCAUGUUCUGUCCUCAGGAUUGGAGAAAAAUCCUGAGGAGUGGAAUAACAUGCAUCCCUUCUAACAUUUGCCAGCUUUUUAAUUUUUUAAAUAUAUUACAUUGUGGAUUCCACUGGCAUCAUGUGAGCAUACUCACAGGCAUUUUUUUUUCAGUUUUAGUAAUUAUGUAUGUAUUUUCAUCUGUAGUCAGAAAAAUACCUGUUUUUUUUCCUAACAUGUUUUAAUGCAUAUUAUCCUGAGCAAAGAUUGUAAAGUCCAUGCUGAAUACUUAAAAACAUGUCAGUAUUUGUAGAAAAGUCAUGAAGGCGGUGUACACAUGAUGGAAGGCUGAGAAACAAUGUCAUAACCCUUUGUACUCAGGCAUCAGAAGGGGACCAGGCAGCUGUCCCUCUCAGCUGAGUGGUGCAUGCUCACAGUGCUGCUGUGCUCACACAGUCCCCAAGUCUGCUUCUCCCUACACAGAGUCCUUCUGGGACUGCUUGAAGGGCAUUUUGCUUUUUGCCCAUAAAAGACUAGCACCAUGAGUCAGAUAGUACUAAGCUGAAAGUUCACUCUCUAAUUCUAUUUCUUAUCACUAAUUAUGCCCAGUCAUGUUGUCCAAAAUAGCUCACCAGACUUUAUGAAAUGAAUACAGAGAACUGUAUCAAUAUUAAAAUGUCCCAAAUUUUAACAAUAUGAAACUCAUUUUUGUUACUCAACUUCCCCACAAACUAAAUCCCCUUGCAAAUAAAAGCUCAAAAAAUUAAAGUCCAAAUGCUCUCACUCUCCAUUUUAUACAAUUGGCUCAGUGUCAGCCAGAGGCUUUUACUCUGAGCCAAGGUUCCUAUAGCUAAAGCUGUGUCCUGGGAUUUCACAGGAAAGAGUAUAGCUUCUUCAGCCUCCUCAAAGUUGGUUCAAAUCUCUAAUUAGUUCUAGUCUCCAAGGGGUCAGCAGUCAAAAAAGAAACUCAUAUCCACUAUAGAAGUUGUCACAAACAAAACUGUGGUACCCCAAUUAAGUGACUAUGUAAUGUCAUCUGACACUGCUAUCGGCCAAAGAGCACAGCAGAUAACUUAGUAGCACCUAUGCUGGAGACAGCGAGGACCUGGUCUCAGUCCGGUGGCAAGCCAGCCAGCUGCACCCGCACUGAAUCCACGGCCUGUGAAUCUGUAUGACUGAGCAGAAAGUGCUCAUCAAUAGUUGUGCUUCCACAUGUUUAAUAUAGGUAUUCCUUUGCUUUUGCUGUUAUUGUUUUGUUUUGGUGAUGUGUGCGUGGUUUCCCAUAUAUAUUACCUAUUUUCUCUCAGAGAGUGACAUUUGAGACAUUAUUGCCUUCUUCAAAAAUGUAGGUAGAUAUUCUGGUUUCUCCAUUUCUUUGUGUCUUGUGUCUCAUGUUUUGGCUACUUUGGUACAAGAUGGUGAGACCACAAGUCUAGAGAAAACUUCUACUCCCAAAUUCUUCCAAGUCUGUUCUCUCCAGAACAGUGAAGUCACUCUCCUUUAUAAACACAUGAGGAAUGGGAUAAUGAACAUCACCCUACUCCCUUAGUACUAUGUUUAACUUACUAGUAUAUGACUUUUUAUUUAUUCUGAAAAUGGUAAUUGUCAUCUCUCUUCCAUAGACGUUUCAUUCCUACCUAGGCAGGUUGAGUUGGGCCAGGCCAAGCAGUAGUUGGCCAGAAUCAAGAAUCUAAGAAAAUAAAAUACUGUGAUCACAGUAAGAGGCAAUGAGUCAGGAUUAGUCUUUUGUCAAGGAGUAAAAGAAGGAUAACAAAGUUUAGCAAAACGUUAAGGAGAUUCUAGAUAUCACAGAUUAAAGUAGUCAAAAGUUAGUAUUCCAAAGAGUUGCACCAUUGAAAAGAUAGAACCC
rnacentral:lncRNA from 1 species